rnacentral:rRNA from 1 species
GACGAACCGUGCGACCGUUGUUCGGAAUCACUGGGCUUAAAGGGCGCGUAGGCGGCUUGCCAAGUCAGUGGUGAAAUCCUGCAGCUUAACUGCAGAAGUGCCUUUGAUACUGGCGAGCUCGAGGGAGGUAGGGGUAUGCGGAACUUCUGGUGGGGCGGUGAAAUGCGUUGAUAUCAGAAGGAACGCCGGUGGCGAAAGCGGCGUACUGGACCUCUUCUGACGCUGAGGCGCGAAAGCUAGGGGAGCAAACGGG